UACGAAGGGGGCUAGCGUUGUUCGGAAUUACUGGGCGUAAAGCGCACGUAGGCGGAUACUUAAGUCAGGGGUGAAAUCCUGGAGCUCAACUCCAGAACUGCCUUUGAUACUGGCGAUCUUGAGUCCGGGAGAGGUGAGUGGAACUGCGAGUGUAGAGGUGAAAUUCGUAGAUAUUCGCAAGAACACCAGUGGCGAAGGCGGCUCACUGGCCCGGUACUGACGCUGAGGUGCGAAAGCGUGGGGAGCAAACAGG
rnacentral:rRNA from 1 species